rnacentral:rRNA from 1 species
GACGAACGCUGGCGGCGUGCUUAACACAUGCAAGUCGAACGGAAAGGCCCUGCUUUUGUGGGGUGCUCGAGUGGCGAACGGGUGAGUAACACGUGAGUAACCUGCCCUUGACUUUGGGAUAACUUCAGGAAACUGGGGCUAAUACCGGAUAGGAGCUCCUGCUGCAUGGUGGGGGUUGGACAUUUUCGGCUGUUGGGGAUGGACUCGCGGCUUAUCAGCUUGUUGGUGGGGUAGUGGCAUACCAAGGCUUUGACGGGUAGCCGGCCGGGGAGGGUGACCGGCCACAUUGGGCCUGAGAUAGGGCGCAGACUCCAACGGGAGGCAGCAGUGGGGAAUAUUGCACAAUGGGCGGAAGCAUGAUGCAGCAACGCCGCGUGCGGGAUGACGGCCUUCGGGUUGUAAACCGCUUUCGCCUGUGACGAAGCGUGAGUGACGGUAAUGGGUAAAGAAGCACCGGCUAACUACGUG